CGACUCAGGGCAAUUGUUGUUUUAGAAGAAGAAGCGUUUUUUACUCAAGUAAAAGCAUUUGUGUAAAUUAGAUUUUUAAGCAAUGGCGUUAGAUAUAUGCUUCGAUAUUAAAACUUUCUUGGAGAGAACUUGCCGCACUUGCAGUCGUUAUUUUAAUGACGAAAUGGUUUUCUUCGGCAUAUUUCGUGUAAAGCUGAAAGAUUCAUGUAGUUUGGAAGAAGAUGAUGAAGUAGAAUAUGACGUUAGUGCUGACGUUAAGGAAGUUUUUGACGAUCUAAACAUAUGGAAAUUAAAUAUAAAACCCAACGACGGGCAAAUUUUCUACUGAAUGUCUGGAACGUUUUAGGCAAGUGCAUUUAUUUCGCGAAGAAUGCCUUGACAGUCAAAAAGUACUACAAAGCUAUUUUUUGGACAUCGAGCAUUUGUUGGAAUCUGAUCUAUACCUCAGGAACAUUUGGAGCGGAUUCAUUCUGAGCUGAAAAGUGAUAUUAUGAUGUGAGCUAUACAUGACCUGAAAGGUAUCUAUAUUGGCAAGUCUUUGGUGCGUUAUAAGGCUGAAAUAGAUUUUGACGGUUGUAAGUUAACUCGCUUUUAUUUCGAUAAACAAGAACUAAGCGAACUUCUAAAGGUAACAAAUAUCGAAAUUGUGCUAUAAUUUAGACGGAUUUUCUUCCCCUUAGGUAUGUGCAAUAAUGUGUCCACAGAGACAGCCUUUUUCGAGCCGUUGCGGAUUCCUCCUGACGUUGUUCAUCGCGCUUCGCACCUUUUCCGCGGACACAGGACGGUGUCGCUCCUCGCGUAUUUUUCCGGCCAGUUCUUUGUACUUGCCUUUAAUCGGCCCCCCUGGUAGCGCCACAAGUGGGUUGUGCGCCGACUCCGUAACCGUUACAGUCAAUUUUUCGCCGACUGAGCGCACCACAUAAAGACCCGCGAACAUCGACUUGGUCGUCUUAAAUCUUAUCUACUGGGUUAGCCGGCAGCGAUAGUAAUACUGUAGUCGCCACGAAGUAAAUUGAAAACAAGUGGCCAAAGAAAUGUAGUUACUUAGUAUAAAACCCGGGAUCACUAAAUAUUGCGUUGCCAGAUAGAUCAAGACCACCCUUCGAAGGGACUAAAGGGCCGUAAACUUUUAAUCAACCUACUACUACUUCCGGAGUAGUGAAGCACCGUAGUAUAGAAAUUGUCUCACUCAUGGACGAGCGCUUGUUCGGUGUGAACGGACAAUGUGAAGCAAUAGUAAGUAUUCACAUAAAAUCCCUACACAGAGCUGUCCAACAUUGUCAUUGCGUAGGUCCAUUGGAACUUCUUCCAAAAUCUUUCGAGUAACAUCAACUUUCUUCUUCUUUUGCUAACCAGACAAUAAGUUGGCCACUCACUUGGCUUAACAGGCUUUUAUUUGUCAGCUCAUGCAGGAAAACGCAAAUGGGAUAAGCGCGAGUGUUCGGGAAAGGCCCUGCACAUGUACAACAAGAAAUGCUUUAUUAUUCUUUAUUCUUUUGCAUUUUUCUAUUUAAAAUA